UUCUUAAGUUGCAUUGAAAACGGUUGACAAUAAAAAUAGUGUAAAACAGUCGUCAACUAACGGUUCGUGAUGACAAUUAGUUUUAGUCUAUUUUAUUAUUUUUAAUACAUAGCUUAACUGAGCAAAUUACGAAGAAACUAAGGAAAAAAAACUAUUGCCCAUUGGUAAGUUAAUUUUCUCUUGGAUAUUAAAAUAAAAUGAAAUGGAAUCACAAUUGAAGCAUUUCAAAGCAACCGCCUGAAGAGAAGGUGUUUUAGUCAAGCAUUACCGCAACGGUAUUAAUUGAUUGACAAACUAAGGAUUUAAAAAAACACAAAGAAAGAAUUAGAUUUAAAAGGCCCAUAAGUGCGUGAUUAGUGGAAUGUCAUAAACAGAAGGAAAAAAACACAACAGUAAUAGCUUGCAAGGAGAAGCUAAC